ACUCCUUGAUAACAUUUAGUCCCACAUCAGAAGUGGAAGCUAUUGAGAAUUUAAUAUCUCAUACAUGGGCCAUCGGCCCACCAUGAUAUUAAAUUAAUUUUUUUCCGGGCGCGGGACCACCAUGGUGGCUUGCCAUUGGGGCCCGCAAGCGUCGCCAAUGCGUUGCAGCUGCACGGUCCUGGCGCACCCCUA